rnacentral:lncRNA from 1 species
UGCUCCAGACCCAGACAACUCUUGGUUGGAUGGUGCGGAGCCCGGCCGCAGCCCGGGGCGCGGAUGCCUGCCCGCCGCCCGCCCUCUCUGCAGGAGGGGCCGCGCGGCUCCCAGCGAGACCCCAUCCAGGCGCCGCCCCCGGCCAGGCUGGGGAGCGCAGAGAUUUCACACCCUUUGGAGAGUUUCUUUCUUGGAUAAUUCAGGUAGGUUUUUACGUUUUGUUUUUUAAAUCAGUGGACCUA